UCCUAGCCCUGAUGGAAGCGGCAUCCUUUUUCUUGCCUUUCUGACGAAGGAAGGAUGGUAAGAAAAAGAUAGAGCGGACAGCAGGAAAUGGC
rnacentral:sRNA from 1 species